rnacentral:rRNA from 1 species
GACGAACGCUGGCGGCGCGCCUAACACAUGCAAGUCGAACGGAGUUUCCCCUUCGGGGGGAGCUUAGUGGCGGACGGGUGAGUAACACGUGAGGAACCUGCCUUUGAGAGCGGGAUACCGUCUGGAAACGGACGUUAAUACCGCAUAAUGCAGCGAGGCCACAUGGCCAUGCUGCCAAAGAUUUAUCGCUCAAAGAUGGCCUCGCGCCUGAUUAGAUAGUUGGCGGGGUAACGGCCCACCAAGUCUGCGAUCAGUAGCCGGACUGAGAGGUCGAACGGCCACAUUGGGACUGAGAUACGGCCCAGACUCCUACGGGAGGCAGCAGUGGGGGAUAUUGCACAAUGGGCGAAAGCCUGAUGCAGCGACGCCGCGUGAGGGAAGACGGUUUUCGGAUUGGUAAACCUCUGUC